rnacentral:rRNA from 1 species
AGCCUUCAGCCCAACAAGUAUUGAAGGUGAUGCCUGCCCAGUGACAUUACGUUCAACGGCCGCGGUAUCCUAACCGUGCGAAGGUAGCGCAAUCAAUUGUCUCAUAAAUCGAGACUUGUAUGAAUGGCUAAACGAGGUCUUAACUGUCUCUUACAGGUAAUCAGUGAAAUUGAUCUUCCUGUGCAAAAGCAGGAAUAAGAACAUAAGACGAGAAGACCCUGUGGAACUUAAAAAUUAGCGACCACUACAUAUCACAUCAUAAACCUACUAGGCUUACAUCCCAAAAGAACUGGCCCGCAUUUUUCGGUUGGGGCGACCUUGGAGAAAAACAGACCCUCCAAAAUCAAGACCAUCCUUCUUAACCAAGAGCAACCCCUCAACGUACUAACAGUAAUCCAGACCCAGUACAACUGACUAACGGACCAAGCUACCCCAGGGAUAACAGCGCAAUCUCCUUCAAGAGCCCAUAUCGACAAGGAGGUUUACGACCUCGAUGUUGGAUCAGGACAUCCUAAUGGUGCAGCCGCUAUUAAGGGUUCGUUUGUUCAACGAUUAACAGUCCU